AUACUUUUCUCGGCCUUUUGGCUAAGAUCAAGUGUAGCAUCUAUUCUUAUCAGUUUAAUAUCUGAUAUGUGAGUCAUCGACUCACAUGAUAUUAACUCAUUUUUUUAAGGGAGAAGGUCCAUCAUGAUAUCUCGCUAUCGAGGCCUUCAUGCGUGUGUUGCACUAUUGUCUUGGCUUGGAAGCUGGCGCACCCCAC
rnacentral:snRNA from 1 species